GCACGGAGCUCCAAACCUCACUGAAUCCGCCAUUUUUGAACUCCUUAUACACAGUCUGUAGUCACACAACACAGUAUUUAUAUAUAAAAUUAAACAUUUUGUAGAAAUUUUACAGUUUGUGUUGAAAAUAUUUUGAUAAUUCAUCCUGUACAUGUGCAAUGAAAUUAUCUCCAGAACACAAACCCAGUAAACAAACUGGAGGAGGACUGGGCUUGUGCGUCACACUGCAGCUUAUCGAAAUCAGAAGUUGGUGUUUGAGCAGGAGAGACAGCACUGCAUCCUGUACUGGUGAUGAUUACACACUCCACGCUGCGGCACCAGAUUUGAGACGCAGCCGGUUUCAGAUGUAGGGAACAAGUGGACAAGGGACGUCUGUGAAGGAGACACUGAACAGAGCGGAGCUGGACACCACCACCACAUGACACUGUACACUACACACGCACACACACACACCCAC